AAUUUUUACUCUCUUUUUUGGAUUUAGCAUUGUAUUAAAUGGUUAUGUUUCGAAUCACAAAUUCUUUGUUUACAUGUACAGUGAAUCAUAUGAAUUAUUAUCUUUUUCAAGAUGGAGUCUAAUACGCUGCCAAGUUCAUCCCAAACAUCAAACGCAAUAGAAUAUGAAAUUCAGAAGUCUACGGGUCGAAAAGGAUUAAGAAAAUCUUUGAAAUCAAAGCCUCCUAUAGCUUCUAAACAAUCCAGGAGUAUAUUUUGGGAGCAUUGUGAAAAGGAAAAAAAGAAAGUUGUGUGAUGGGAGCGAACAACAAAUAGAGACAUGCAAAUAUUACAAAGUUGAGAUCUCAGCUGUUUACGGAAGUACUAGUGGUUUAAAAAACCAUCGAAAGAAAGUUGCAAAUAUGGUUUAUGAUCUAUUCUUAGUUGAGAAAGCUAAGAUACAAAGUGUGAUUGGCGACCAAAGGGUAAGUAUAACAAUUGAUACUUGGACAUCCAUUUAAAACAGAAAUUAUAUGGUAGUGAUAGCUCACUUUUUGGAUAGUAAUUGGAAGUUACAUGAAAGAAUAAUUAACUUCACAAAAAUCACUAAUCAUGUAGGGGAAGAAAUUUGCAAGGUGGUUGAGGUUUGUUUUAGAGAGUGGGGGAUAUAAAAAGUCUUUUUAAUUAUAGUCCACAAUACUUCCUCUAAUGACACUGUAAUUGAUUACUUAAAAAGAAGAAUGAAAAGUGAAAAUUCAUUGUUAUUUGAAAGGAAAUACUUGCACUUGAGGUGCAUGUGUCAAUACUUAACUUAAUUGUUAAUGAUGACUUGAAGGAGCUUAAUGUUUCAAUUAAAGCUAUAAAGAAUGCAGUUGUUUUUAUUCAUUCUUCCCCACAAGGUUGAAUAAAAUUAGGAAGUUUGCCAUGCUAGCCCGGUUUUCUAGUACAUUAACAGUAUCUAUGGAUCUCAAAACAAGGUGGAAUGCAACUUAUAAAAUGCUCGAAGUUGCAUUAAAGUAUAGAAGGGUGUUCAAAAGGAUGGCCGAAGAAUGGUUGCCUUUUAUGAAUUAUUUUUGUAAAAAAGAUGAAAAGGGUAACGAAAGGAUAGGGCCUCCAAUUGCUGAUAAUUGGGAGAAUGCAAAGGCUUUGGUACACUUUCUGAAAAAGUUUUAUGAUGUCGGUUUGGAGCUAAGUGCAUUAAAAAGUCCUACAUCCCAAUUGAUUUAUCAAUCAAUGAUUGCAUUACAAAUUGAGAUUGAGAGAGAGAAUUGAUGAUUUGGAUCCGACUCUUCAAAAGGUUGCAUGUGCAAUAAUGUUAAAGUUUGAUAAGUGUUGGAGGAAUUAGUAUAAUAUGAAACCUUUGAUAUUUAUUGAGAAUAUUUUGGACUUGAGGAACAAGCUUUAGAUGAUCAAAGUCAGUGUAAAAAAAUUUGAAGGUACUCCUAUAAGAAUCCAAGUGUUCGUUGAUAAGGUCAAACAAAACUUGGUAACUUUGUGGAUGGAGUACAAGGGAAUAAAUGAUAUAUUGAAUGUUGAGAGUUAAAGUAUACAAAUAGAGUUUGAUGGCAGAGAUGGUUGUACUGGUGGUCGUGAUAUGAAUUGUUUGAUGAUGUGGAAGCACAAAACGAAGAAAAACAACUUCAAGAGAUAUACAAUGAAGUAGAUAAGUACCUAGCCGAUGAGAUUGAAAAACGAUCUAAUAAAUCUUUCAAUCUUUUGGAAUGGUGGAGAGGAAGUGAAACUAGGUACCCAAUUCUUUCAAUUAUUGCCAAGGAUAUUUUUGCAAUUCCAUGCUCAACCGUUGCUAGUGAAUUCGCUUUUAGCUUGGGCAAAAGGGUUGUGAAUCCUUUUAGAAUUAGUUUGAGUACUAAAAUGGUAGAGGUAGUGCUUCACUAAGAGCGGAGGAGUUCAAUUUUUGGAAAGAUCCAACGGAUGAUGACCUUGAAUUAUAUAAAGAAAUUGAAGAAUUUGAAAAGAGUAAGAGUUUUUUAUUUAAUUAAAUUUAAAUUUAAAUAAUAGCCAUCAUUGUUAAUCUAACAUGAAAUAUAAUGCUUCUAUGUUACAGUUGCAAAUGCCACUCAAGAUUGUGUCAGAGUUACUACUGUUCUACUUCUGCCUCCUCUUUGGUCUAACUUGAAGAGUAAGAUUAUAUUUAUAUUGCUAGCUGGAUGUCUAUUGAGAUCAAAGUGUAGGGUCACUAGGAGAGAUAGACUAAGAUGAGAGGCUCUCUUCAGAAAGUCUAAUAACUUAGUUGAAAAAAUAAAUCAGAGUUAAAGGUAUGCAAAGAAAACAUAUAAAAUAUUAAUAACCAAAAGAGAUCUAAAUUACUUAGGCAUUAUUAAUGGUAUGUCUUAUGUGGCAAUCAAUGACUAAGUGAUGCAAUAAAACCCAUAUGCCUACCUUUAAAGAUAUAAUCAUGUAAUGAAGCUCAAUUGCCCUUAGUUUAUUAGAAAUGCUUAUUCAUGGUUUCCAUGAUAGUCCCAUGUAAAACAAUAUGUAGAUUUAUACAAAAAAGAAUUCUAAGAAUAGUGAAAGGGUCGCUCCGUUCUUAAAUGGAACCACUAUACUGUUUAAUGGGAAGAUUGCAUAUAAAAUGUUAGAUUGUGCUUAAUAACUCAAUCUCUUUCUAUCCAUAUAUUAUUUUUUGAAAUGGAACCACUAUCGUUAUCUUGACAUCAAGUUUUUACACACAAUGCUUGCUAUAUGAUUGUGCUUAUUUUGGCACAAUAUGUUUUCUUUGUUGGUAUGUUUUUGUUUUUCUUCUUAGUGCUUAAUUUUGGCUAACUUUGGAUUCUUAAAUUGUUUUUAGCUAGACAUUUUUUAUUGUCAAACAUUUUGUGGUGCUAGUCUUUUUUUUCAGCAUUGUAUGUAUUCAUGAAAAUAUGUUUCUGCAAGAACCAUGCUUUAACUUCGUUUUUUGACAUAAUGCUUUGCUUAUUAUUUGUUGUUGUCAAUUAUCAGAUUACUAGAAUCAUGCUAGAUAGAAGAUGUGUGGAAAAGGAGGGAAACACUCACAAAGUCAAUUCCCGUCCUUUCUCUCAUAUCUUCCAUCUUAGUAAUCAGACACUGAAAUACUUGGUGAACUCUUUUAAUGAUGUGAAGUUUGCAUGCAAACUUGCAAGUUAAGUCCUCUCCACCACCUGCCCAGUCAACUACCAUAAAUAAUGAUCCUACUAUAAUUCAGGUAGGAAGGUGAUCUGCAUAUUCAUAAUUGUUGACUUUAAUAUCCUCACGGAUGGAUAUCUUAUCUUCAAAUUAUUAACAGUCAUAUUAUCCUUAUCCUGCAUCUACUUCUACAAGUGUGUCUAUUAUUGACAGUGGAGGUGGAGCAGAUGUUAAUUCUCAUUCUGGGCUUGAUCUAACCUACCGCAAAUUACAAGGCACUUGCUUUUGUUUUUUUAUAAGAAAAAAUACUUCCUUUUUAAUCAAUAAUUUAGUUCUUCCUUUUGUAGUCAAUACUUUAAUUGUUGUUAUUGCUUGGUUGUGUUUUUUUAAAUCUGAUUAUUUGUUUAUUGUCUGAUUGUUGACGUCUUGUUAUUAUGAACAGGGGUAUUAUAUGUGGCUUCUGGAUUGAUUGUAUCUAGUUCUGGACGUACAAUUGAUUUAAGAUAUAUACGGUAUUGUAAAAUGAUACCAUACUAAAAUUUUAGUAUAUUGAAAUUUUUGGUACAAACGGUAUGAAAUUCAUACCAUAUCGAAAAUUCGGUAUACCAAAAUUUCAAUAUACCAAAUUUUCAAUACAGUAUCGGUAAGUACGGUAUACACACUAUACAGUAUGAUAGGCAAAAUUCAAUAUACAGUAUCGAACCAAUCCUAAGUCUGCCAUCAUUGAUCUCAAAUUUUUAUUAUGAUUGAUCCUCGAUGCCUUUGAAUCAAUACUUUCUUCAGUUGCUUGUGAUAAAGUUUUUCUUCUUUGUUUUGCAAACUAGGUUAUGAUGCUUAAAUAAUAAAUUAACUCUAUUCAGCUAUGAAUGCAUAUUUUAGAUCAUUUUUUAAGCUCAAAGAUCAUUAUAGGUAUUGCACACUUUCAAAAUAUUUGAAAGAAUAAGAACCUGGAUUUGGCUGAAUUAUGCAACUCUUGUACAUGUAAAGAUCAAAUCAAACAGCGUAGUUUAUAGAUGCCACAAUCUGGUUCACUAAGGUAACAUAGUUACACUAUCAGGCUUUCAUCAUGAGAAACCAAGGACGAGGUUAGGCCUCCCAUAUCUCAAAUUUGCCAUCAACGAAAUCAUAGUGUGCACCAAACAACUUUAAGUUUCCCUUUUCUAUACCCUCUGUCACAAAGGGAUACGUCUUGAGGUUGGCUAGGGACGAGUUCACUGCCUCCUGCAAAAAGUUGAAGGGAGAACUGUAAGCUAAUAAACCCAGUAAAAAUGUGUCCCAUUAGGUUUGUCAGAGUCCAUAAUUGUUGCUUUGUUAUUGAUUUUUUUUGCAAAGUUUCACUGAGGUUACCUUCUCUGCAAUCGCCAACUUCUCUUCAAGUGGCAGGGCGGCAUGCUCCUCCUCCACCUUCUUCUUUGCCGGCAGACUAAUCUUCAUCCAAUCCUCAAUGAAGUCACUGUCCAAGCUCAGCCAAAAGAAAUGUAUGAUCAUGAUUGGAUGCUCAUGGAGCAGUAGAAUGAACAACAUGAACUGGAGUUUUUACGUGCUGGUGGAGCCAUCAUCCUUGGUGGCCAAGAGUGCCCUGAUUCCACCGCACCGACUGUGACCGAUCACUAUUAUGUUCUCCACCUGCACAACACCAUCCAAUUUGUAUUUGUGCAUAUCCUGAGGGAAAUAAAAUGGCCAAUUGGGUGGGCAUCAGGUUUGUCACUAGUCUUCUUCUUUACUAUACUUUUUUUGUUUAAAGUUCCCAUCUCUUCUUGAUUGGCAUUCACCCUUCAUUCCAAAUGCAAAAAGGGCGAUCUGAUACUUGCCCAAUUGGAGGCCAUGAAUCAGGUUAUGCUUAAAGUUCUUGCUUUAUUUUUGAGUGAACAACUAUAGACUGACGAAACUUAGGAAAAUACACAGUGCAGACCUUGAGAUAGACCACAGGAUACUCAAUGGCUGCCCCAAUUCCUCCAUACUUCACCUGAACAGAAGCAUCAAACACAUAAGACAGGGCAGCUGCCGGCGAUCACACAUCGGAGCAAAUAAAGAAAAGAACCCUACUGGGUCAUAGGGAGGGACUGUGUUGGCGAUGUUGCGGAUUGUGAAGGCCUCACCGGGUUGAAAGUUGAGCACCACCGAUGGGCACACGCGGGAGUCAGAGCAUGCGAAAACAAGUUCAUGAAGACUAACCUUGGGGCUUUGGCUCUCCUUGAGUGGACCAAACAGAUCAGGCUUCUUUCUGCAGUUGAUCGGUGUGAUUGGGAAGCAACAAGCUAAGCAUGCAAAGGGAAGGUGUAAUUGGGACUUACUCAUAGACCUCCUUCUUGAAGAGCUCGAAACCGGAUUGGAAGCGCUCUAUAGUUCCCAUCUAUGUCUGAAGAUGAAUUAAAAGCUCCUGGAGAUCAAGAAGAAUAGGAACAACCCAAAGAGACGGAACGAAUCUAAGAAAUAUAAAGAGAAUGGAAAAGAAGGCGAGGUUGGGAAAGGUUGACGAUCUUAUUGUCUUUAUGUCCUGAAAUUGUGGAGGAGAUUGAGGUGGGCGGGAGCAUGAUUGGUUCGUUAUAAACUCAACACGACAAAUACAUGAGUUGUGCUUGGUCCACCACAAAAUUUUAUUAUGUUUAACAUGCCAUUAUUAUCUUUUAACUCGCAGUUCUAAUCAUAAUUUUCGAUUUAUUA